UACGAAGGGGGCUAGCGUUGCUCGGAAUCACUGGGCGUAAAGGGUGCGUAGGCCGCACGGUAAGUCAGAGGUGAAAUCCCGGAGCUCAACUUCGGAAUUGCCUCCGAUACUGCCGUGCUUGAGGACUGGAGAGGAGUCUGGAAUUCACAGUGGAGCAGUGAAAUGCGUAGAUAUUGUGAGGAACACUAGUGGCGAAGGCGAGACUCUGGACAGUUCCUGACGCUGAGGCACGAAGGCCAGGGGAGCAAACGGG
rnacentral:rRNA from 1 species